AUCCCUGGGAGAGCAGAAACAUAUUAAAGUGUGAGGAACUGUGCCUCUCAAACUUUGUGACAUAUUAAAAUCACCUGGAAAGCUUUAAAAGGCCCCAAAUGUCCAGGCCACAAUCUCAUACCAAUGAAUUCAGGAUUGCUAAGGAUGGCUAAUGUAUAUGUAUGUGUGUGUGUGUGUGUGUGUGUGUGUAUGUUUUUCAGGUGACUCCAAUGUGUAUAGAUACCGAGUACAGGCUCCAUAUUAGAAUUACCUGGGGAGUCUUUAAAUAGCCUGACACUUGACCCCUGCUCUUAGAAAGUCUGAUUUAAUUGGUCUGGGAUGGCAGCAAAAAUAUUUCUAGAAGAUUCAAAUAUGUUGCCAGCUACAGCCUCUGUUGAAAAUGUUAGUCCAGCUUCAUUAAAGGGUCACAGGCUUAAAAAUAUUGCCACACACUUAUAGAUCUGGUCUUGGGGCUUUGAUAUUCAAUCUCCUUACAUGUGAUUGAAACUGUGCUUGUAUUUUUUUUAUAUGAAUCCAAAUAUUUGUGUGUGCCUUUAGUUCUCUAAAACAAAAAGAAAAAAGUUUCUUUUGAAAAAUUUAACCACGGGGCUGGAGAGAUGGCUCGGUGGUUAAAAUUACAGUUUGUUCUUCUUCAGGUGGCGAGUUCAAUUCCCAGCGCCCACGUGGAGGCUCAUUAGCAGCUGUAACUGUAUUCUCAUGUAAGUCCUGUGGAAUCCGAUGCCCUCUUCUGGUAUGCAAACACGAAUGGGAACAAAAUAUCCAACAUAUACAAAUGCAUAAGCAAAUAAACGUUAAGAAAAGAGAAAUUAACUUCACUAGAGCUGAGUUCGUGGACAGAAGUGCUGAAUUACACCCGGGCCUCAGGAGAAGCUAUGGAGUUGAGAGGAACGGAGGACUAGAGAAUGAAGUGGUUCUAAAGAAGAGUUUCUGGCUUAGCAAAUAAACGACAAGUAGCCCAGUUAAAGAAAGCCCGGAAUUCCCAGUCUUGGAAGAUCCACUGGUGCGUAGAGCUUUCUCCGGGUCUUUGUUGGCUUUGCCACCUGAGGAAGAACGCUUGCCCUCUCUGCCGGGCUCAAGAGAUCAUACAGCUUCCCCAUUGCCAAAGCCUGCCAGAGCUUGCUACACACCUUAAAACCACCGUGCACUUGAAGGAUGCAGUGUGGUGAGUCUUCACGAAGAGAACAUGGUGGAAAGGUCUGGGGCUAUGUUCAGUCAAGAACUUUGGGGGGUUUUUUUUUUGAUGGAAAGAAGUUAUAUGGACUCAUAUAAGAACUGUUCUAGUUAUAAACUUUGUUAUAAACUCAAAUACAUAUACUUGGAAAAUUUUGUAUUAUA
rnacentral:sRNA from 1 species